rnacentral:rRNA from 1 species
UGGUCCCACCUGACCCCAUGCCGAACUCAGCAGUGAAACGCCGUAGCGCCGAUGGUAGUGUGGGGUCUCCCCAUGUGAGAGUAGGGCACUGCCA